GGGAAGGGGAGCUUAAUGUAGCCAGCUACUUGCUGCAUGCCUCCUUCUGCAGAGCUGAUCCUUCGCAGACUCCCCACCUCAGCCCUGCCACUCACUCACUCACUCCUGGCCUCCCAGACCGGUGAAUUCGGCCCCUGGGCUGGGCAGUCCUAGGCCCUGGCUUCACAAAGCCACAGCAUACUCACCACUCCCCUUCCUGGUGCUCAACUUCACCAAAAGACCUGGGGCCCAAACUUUCUACAUAUCGCUAAAGUAAUUUCACAUUACUUAUUCGUUUUGCUAAUUACUCUUUGUUUUUUAGCCAACAGGGAUAUGCUAUGGAAUACAACAUAAAACCUUCAUGUAUUUUAAAACACAGUAGGAGACUUGGACGGAACUCAUACUUGUCACCUGCUGCUUAGAGCUCUUCUCUGUGAGGGCCCUUACGUCCCCGGCCUUCAGGACGAGUGGUGGGAAAGCUCCGGAAGCAGAGGACACCUCAUGCAUUCAUCAGUUGCAGUUUGCCUUGCUGCGAGCCCCAAGUUCCCAGCUGAGCCUAGAGCAGCUCAAUUCUAGGACAGUGCUUUACCAGCUGAAGGGUGAGAUGCAUCAUAUGUUGUAAAAAUCAAUUGAAAAACAAAAAUGAACAGAAAAUAAAAGAUGAAAAUCUAUUAAACAUAGUAAUGUUACUGGAAAAAGAAGUCUCAAACCAGAUCCCAAGAGAGGGUCCUUGGAGCUCACACAUGAACGAAUUCAAGGUGAGUUGCAGGGUGCAGUGAAAAGAGAUAGUUUAUUGAAAGCUAUUCCAUGACAGAGUAGAGCAUUCUCAGAAAGCAACUGGAGGCACAUGCCAUCUUUAAAUUUUUCUUAUAUAGAAAUCUUGUCUCUGUAAAGACUAAAGUAAGCUGUGCCUAUGUGUGGGUGGGCUGCCAGCAUGAAAAAAUUUCUUCUCCAAUUGAUUUAAAGAAAAUUAUCCUUGACAUUUUAGUGUGUAAAUACAUCAAAGCAUAACUACAGUUAUCUUGAAAGCAUAUAUUGUUAUGGG
rnacentral:lncRNA from 1 species